UGAUGGAGCUAACUAAAUUCAUUAGCAUCUAAAUGUUAAGAAAAAUGUAACAGAGAGAUAAUAACACGUUGUUACGAAGAGUACAGACUAAUCGCCGUGCCAGCAGUUGCGGUAAAACGGCUUGUACAAACGUUAAUCCUCAUUAAUAGGCAUAAAGGGUUCGUAGGCAGCUCUUGGGUAAACCAACGAAGAGAUAGAAUCAGAUAGAGGAUAAUACAACAUUUGGAACAGGGUCGAUAUCCUUAGAUACCUUAUGGAGUGGCAACAGCGAAGGCAGUUAUCUGGCUAUGAUUGACGCUGAGGAACUAAGGUUUGGGAAGGAAACAGGAUGUGCGACUUGAUAAGCUUAAAUAUUAUAUUGUAUCCAUAGGAUACAUUAUCUUUCAUCUGAUAAUAGUCUGCCUAAACAAGCAUAAUUAGUAAUAAUAUUGUUUGAAGCUUUAGGGUAAAGUUAAUUGUUGGUUAUCUAACCAUAAUUUAAGUUUUAAAUUUAUAAUUAAUUAUAAGUUUACGAAAUUAAGUUAAUUAACGAAGGCUGAUUUUUAUGGUUAAGAAAACUGAACUUACAGUAUAAAACAUAUUAAAUAAACAACUUAACGUCCUGGUGAGUUGGAGAUGAAUACAAAAUUUAAUAUUGUAAAGUAAGAACCUAACAAAAUCUAUAGUAUGUAUAUAAGAACAAGGUAAUACCUAUAAUUUGCAAUAUAAUAUAAUAAAUUGCUAGUUUAUUUGUGAAAAUAAAUAUUUAUUUAGAGGUAGUAUGAUAAGAAAAAAGCGAAUGCUAAUUUGUAACAAAUUAGAUAAAAUUUAAUUAUAAAUUAAUCUGAAAAGAUGCUAACUUUCUAUUGGUGUGAGUAAAAAUAUUUUGAUAUAAGAAGACGUGGGCCUAAAAAUAAAAAAAAGGUCUUUUAAAAGAGACUCUUGAAAGAACAUUAAGGAUUUUUUAUUAAAAAAAAUCCUGUCUAAUACAAAUUAGAUAAACCUUUUUAAUAAUUCAGUUGUUUUAUACAUUUUUAUCCAAGAGUACUCAUUAAAAUAGUCCGCUCUUAAAUAAAUAUUAAGGGAAAUAUAUUUCAAUAUUAUCCUAUUAUUUGAGUAAAAAUCGUUAUUGAUACAAAUAUUAUCACGUCUCGUUUAAACGAGACGUGAUAAUAUUUGUUA
rnacentral:rRNA from 1 species